ACGCUGGCGGCAGGCCUAACACAUGCAAGUCGAGCGGUAGCACAGGGGAGCUUGCUCUCUGGGUGACGAGCGGCGGACGGGUGAGUAAUGUCUGGGAAACUGCCUGAUGGAGGGGGAUAACUACUGGAAACGGUAGCUAAUACCGCAUGACCUCGUAAGAGCAAAGUGGGGGACCUUCGGGCCUCACGCCAUCGGAUGUGCCCAGAUGGGAUUAGCUAGUAGGUGGGGUAAUGGCUCACCUAGGCGACGAUCCCUAGCUGGUCUGAGAGGAUGACCAGCCACACUGGAACUGAGACACGGUCCAGACUCCUACGGGAGGCAGCAGUGGGGAAUAUUGCACAAUGGGCGCAAGCCUGAUGCAGCCAUGCCGCGUGUGUGAAGAAGGCCUUAGGGUUGUAAAGCACUUUCAGCGAGGAGGAAGGGUUCAGUGUUAAUAGCACUGUACAUUGACGUUACUCGCAGAAGAAGCACCGGCUAACUCCGUGCCAGCAGCCGCGGUAAUACGGAGGGUGCAAGCGUUAAUCGGAAUUACUGGGCGUAAAGCGCACGCAGGCGGUUUGUUAAGUCAGAUGUGAAAUCCCCGAGCUUAACUUGGGAACUGCAUUUGAAACUGGCAAGCUAGAGUCUUGUAGAGGGGGGUAGAAUUCCAGGUGUAGCGGUGAAAUGCGUAGAGAUCUGGAGGAAUACCGGUGGCGAAGGCGGCCCCCUGGACAAAGACUGACGCUCAGGUGCGAAAGCGUGGGGAGCAAAC
rnacentral:rRNA from 1 species